rnacentral:rRNA from 1 species
AGUAAUGUCUGGGAAACUGCCUGAUGGAGGGGGAUAACUACUGGAAACGGUAGCUAAUACCGCAUAACGUCGCAAGACCAAAGUGGGGGACCUUCGGGCCUCAUGCCAUCAGAUGUGCCCAGAUGGGAUUAGCUAGUAGGUGGGGUAACGGCUCACCUAGGCGACGAUCCCUAGCUGGUCUGAGAGGAUGCCAGCCACACUGGAACUGAGACACGGUCCAG